rnacentral:rRNA from 1 species
UAGGGGAGCCGGAGGGAAACCGAGUCUUAAUUGGGCGUUAAGUUGCAGGGUAUAGACCCGAAACCCGGUGAUCUAGCCAUGGGCAGGUUGAAGGUUGGGUAACACUAACUGGAGGACCGAACCGACUAAUGUUGAAAAAUUAGCGGAUGACCUGUGGCUGGGGGUGAAAGGCCAAUCAAACCGGGAGAUAGCUGGUUCUCCCCGAAAGCUAUUUAGGUAGCGCCUCGUGAAUUCAUCUCCGGGGGUAGAGCACUGUUUCGGCUAGGGGGCCAUCCCGGCUUACCAACCCGAUGCAAACUGCGAAUACCGGAGAAUGUUAUCACGGGAGACACACGGCGGGUGCUAACGUCCGUCGUGAAGAGGGAAACAACCCAGACCGCCAGCUAAGGUCCCAAAGUCAUGGUUAAGUGGGAAACGAUGUGGGAAGGCCCAGACAGCCAGGAUGUUGGCUUAGAAGCAGCCAUCAUUUAAAGAAAGCGUAAUAGCUCACUGGUCGAGUCGGCCUGCGCGGAAGAUGUAACGGGGCUAAACCAUGCACCGAAGCUGCGGCAGCGACACUGUGUGUUGUUGGGUAGGGGAGCGUUCUGUAAGCCUGUGAAGGUGUGUCGUGAGGCAUGCUGGAGGUAUCAGAAGUGCGAAUGCUGACAUAAGUAACGAUAAAGCGGGUGAAAAGCCCGCUCGCCGGAAGACCAAGGGUUCCUGUCCAACGUUAAUCGGGGCAGGGUGAGUCGACCCCUAAGGCGAGGCCGAAAGGCGUAGUCGAUGGGAAACGGGUUAAUAUUCCCGUACUUGGUGUUACUGCGAAGGGGGGACGGAGAAGGCUAUGUUGGCCGGGCGACGGUUGUCCCGGUUUAAGCGUGUAGGUGUGUGUUCCAGGUAAAUCCGGUUCACUUUAACACUGAGGCGUGACGACGAGGCACUACGGUGCUGAAGCAACAAAUGCCCUGCUUCCAGGAAAAGCCUCUAAGCAUCAGGUAACAUCAAAUCGUACCCCAAACCGACACAGGUGGUCAGGUAGAGAAUACCAAGGCGCUUGAGAGAACUCGGGUGAAGGAACUAGGCAAAAUGGUGCCGUAACUUCGGGAGAAGGCACGCUGACACGUAGGUGAAGUGAUUUACUCAUGGAGCUGAAGUCAGUCGAAGAUACCAGCUGGCUGCAACUGUUUAUUAAAAACACAGCACUGUGCAAACACGAAAGUGGACGUAUACGGUGUGACGCCUGCCCGGUGCCGGAAGGUUAAUUGAUGGGGUCAGCGCAAGCGAAGCUCCUGAUCGAAGCCCCGGUAAACGGCGGCCGUAACUAUAACGGUCCUAAGGUAGCGAAAUUCCUUGUCGGGUAAGUUCCGACCUGCACGAAUGGCGUAAUGAUGGCCAGGCUGUCUCCACCCGAGACUCAGUGAAAUUGAACUCGCUGUGAAGAUGCAGUGUACCCGCGGCAAGACGGAAAGACCCCGUGAACCUUUACUAUAGCUUGACACUGAACAUUGAGCCUUGAUGUGUAGGAUAGGUGGGAGGCUUUGAAGCGUGGACGCCAGUCUGCGUGGAGCCGACCUUGAAAUACCACCCUUUAAUGUUUGAUGUUCUAACGUGGACCCGUGAUCCGGGUUGCGGACAGUGUCUGGUGGGUAGUUUGACUGGGGCGGUCUCCUCCUAAAGAGUAACGGAGGAGCACGAAGGUUGGCUAAUCCUGGUCGGACAUCAGGAGGUUAGUGCAAUGGCAUAAGCCAGCUUGACUGCGAGCGUGACGGCGCGAGCAGGUGCGAAAGCAGGUCAUAGUGAUCCGGUGGUUCUGAAUGGAAGGGCCAUCGCUCAACGGAUAAAAGGUACUCCGGGGAUAACAGGCUGAUACCGCCCAAGAGUUCAUAUCGACGGCGGUGUUUGGCACCUCGAUGUCGGCUCAUCACAUCCUGGGGCUGAAGUAGGUCCCAAGGGUAUGGCUGUUCGCCAUUUAAAGUGGUACGCGAGCUGGGUUUAGAACGUCGUGAGACAGUUCGGUCCCUAUCUGCCGUGGGCGCUGGAGAACUGAGGGGGGCUGCUCCUAGUACGAGAGGACCGGAGUGGACGCAUCACUGGUGUUCGGGUUGUCAUGCCAAUGGCACUGCCCGGUAGCUAAAUGCGGAAGAGAUAAGUGCUGAAAGCAUCUAAGCACGAAACUUGCCCCGAGAUGAGUUCUCCCUGAGACUUUAGGUCUCCUGAAGGAACGUUGAAGACGACGACGUUGAUAGGCCGGGUGUGUAAGCGCAGCGAUGCGUUGAGCUAACCGGUACUAAUGAACCGUGAGGCUUAACCUUACA